rnacentral:rRNA from 1 species
UACGGAGGGUGCAAGCGUUAUCCGGAAUCAUUGGGUUUAAAGGGUCCGUAGGCGGUUUUUUAAGUCAGUGGUGAAAUCCCACAGCUUAACUGUGGCACUGCCUUUGAUACUGUUAGUCUUGAGUCAUUUGGAAGUAGAUAGAAUGUGUAGUGUAGCGGUGAAAUGCAUAGAUAUUACACAGAAUACCGAUUGCGAAGGCAGUCUACUACGUAUGUACUGACGCUGAGGGACGAAAGCGUGGGGAGCGAACAGG